rnacentral:lncRNA from 13 species
ACACACACACACACACACACACACACACACACACACACCGCCGUACUGUCAUCAGACUAGGAGUGCUUACUCUAGCAAGAAUACAUGAAUACACACAUAGGCAGGAUUAUAAGCACACAGAAACACACAUACACACACACACACACACACACACACACACACACACUAUCUCCUCCACCCCUACCAAGCAGUCACUCCACAAGUUCCAGAUCAUUAUCUCUCUUGUCUUUAUCGAGCCUGAAUCUGCCUCCCUCCCAGGUGCCACCGUAGUCCCUAUAUAGGGCACUACUUUUGACCAGGGCCAACAGGGCUCUAGGGCCAACAGGGCUCUAGGGCCAACGGGGCUCUAGGGCCAACGGGGCUCUAGGGCCAACGGGGCUCUAGGGCCAACGGGGCUCUAGGACAACGGGGCUCUAGGACAUCGGGGCUCUAGGACAACAGGGCUCUAGGACAACAGGGCUAUAGGACAACAGGGCUCUAGGACAACAGGGCUCUAGGGACAACAGGGCUCUAGGGCCAACAGGGCUCUAGGACAAUAGGGCCAACAGGGCUCUGGGGCCAACAGGGCUCUAGGACUAGGACAGGGCUCUUGAAAGUAGCAGACUAUGUUGGAAAUAAGGUUGCAAUUUAGGAGGCAAACCCUCUCUCUCUCCACACUUCAAUAAGCACCAUGCAAAUCACCAUCUCAACCUCUCCCCUCUCCUCUUCCCCAGUGAGUCUGAUAUGCGGUGUGCUUCCUCUUUGAGCUUAUUAGGGGUUCAGCAGCGAAGCUAUAUCAAGCCAUUUGAAAAAAAAAACCUUUGAAAGCUCAUGCCCCUGACUCCUCGUUUGAGCUAAAGACAUUUGGUAUGUAGGUCCCUCUCCUCACAAGGGAAAUUAUUGCCUCAAGGACCAUGAUGGAUUUUCCGCCAUUUUGAAUGUUGUGAAUAACAUUUCGAUCUGUCAAAACUUGACAUCUUUCAUCUAUGGGUCCAAGGUCUCUCAAUGCACUAUUUUCCCAGGCUAAUAUGUCAAGCAACGAUGUGGUCUCACACAUAAAUGACUAUAAAUCAGUCACGGAUAUUCCUAUUUUAAUCAAACUUUGUACACAUGUUGCAAACACUGUCAAGACUCAACAUAUAUGACCGCCCGGCUUGAUUCGAUCGUACGUAGCAAAAUUUGAAAUUGUGUUUUUUACAUUGGAUAAAAGUAGAGACUCCGAGCUAUAAAAUAGUAUAUCAUACACUGUAGUUGAGGAACAAUGAGAAAGUAAUUCUGCUUUGAAAGUUGAUAAACUGGUAACCUCACUUUUGAGAAAAUGGCCCUUGAAUGUUUUGGUACACCUACUGGAGAGGUCUUUUUUUGUCUACACCCAUUCAGCAUCAUUCACACCCUCUGAAGCAUUAGCCCCGCCCAUCUCUUUAAGGAUUCACAUUUGAGGCUCUGUGUCACGUGUGCUCCCUCUCUGACCUCUAGGUCAGCAGGCUUCUCGUUAGGGCGCACACCUGUCACCAUUGUUACGCGC